AUACAGAGGGAGCAAGCGUUGUUCGGAAUUACUGGGCGUAAAGGGCGCGUAGGCGGUUCAGCAAGUCUUGUGUGAAAUCCCCCGGCUCAACUGGGGAACUGCAUAGGAAACUGCUGGACUUGAGUUCGGGAGAGGGAAGCGGAAUUCCGGGUGUAGCGGUGAAAUGCGUAGAUAUCCGGAGGAACACCGGUGGCGAAGGCGGCUUCCUGGACCGAUACUGACGCUGAGGCGCGAAAGCUAGGGUAGCAAACGGGAUUAGAUACCCCUGUAGUCC
rnacentral:rRNA from 1 species